AGUGGAAUACUGAAUUAUGGGAAGCUUCCAUUAUCUCAGGUGUCAACAUUCCAUACUUCCUGAUGUUGGCGCAACAAUAAAAUGGGGUGUAGAGAGAUGUAUCCAGAGCUGCACAGCUAGUGGACGUCUGAGCAGGAGCCACAUGCAGAAGAGUCUGACUCCAGGGCCUCAGCGUGUAAUGCCCUACACCUGCUGCAUGGGUUUACAUUUCC
rnacentral:lncRNA from 1 species